rnacentral:rRNA from 1 species
UACAGAGGGGGCAAGCGUUAUUCGGAAUUAUUGGGCGUAAAGGGCGCGUAGGCGGCAUGGCAAGUGGAAGGUGAAAUCCCUCGGCUCAACUGAGGAACUGCCCUCCAAACUGCUUUGCUUGAGUCCGGGAGAGGUGAGUGGAACUGCGAGUGUAGAGGUGAAAUUCGUAGAUAUUCGCAAGAACACCAGUGGCGAAGGCGGCUCACUGGCCCGAUACUGACGCUGAGGCACGAAAGCGUGGGGAGCAAACAGG